UCAUGGCUCAGAUUGAACGCUGGCGGCAGGCUUAACACAUGCAAGUCGAGCGGGGGAAGGUAGCUUGCUACUGGACCUAGCGGCGGACGGGUGAGUAAUGCUUAGGAAUCUGCCUAUUAGUGGGGGACAACAUCUCGAAAGGGAUGCUAAUACCGCAUACGUCCUACGGGAGAAAGCAGGGGAUCUUCGGACCUUGCGCUAAUAGAUGAGCCUAAGUCGGAUUAGCUAGUUGGUGGGGUAAAGGCCUACCAAGGCGACGAUCUGUAGCGGGUCUGAGAGGAUGAUCCGCCACACUGGGACUGAGACACGGCCCAGACUCCUACGGGAGGCAGCAGUGGGGAAUAUUGGACAAUGGGGGGAACCCUGAUCCAGCCAUGCCGCGUGUGUGAAGAAGGCCUUAUGGUUGUAAAGCACUUUAAGCGAGGAGGAGGCUACUUUAGUUAAUACCUAGAGAUAGUGGACGUACUCGCAGAAUAAGCACCG
rnacentral:rRNA from 1 species